GUGCCAGCAGCCGCGGUAAUACGAAGGGGGCUAGCGUUGUUCGGAAUCACUGGGCGUAAAGCGCGCGCAGGCGGUCUUCCAAGUCAGGGGUGAAAUCCUGGAGCUCAACUCCAGAACUGCCUUUGAUACUGAGGAGCUUGAGUCCGGGAGAGGUGAGUGGAACUGCGAGUGUAGAGGUGAAAUUCGUAGAUAUUCGGAAGAACACCAGUGGCGAAGGCGGCCACCUGGCUCGGUACUGACGCUCAGGUUCGAAAGCGUGGGGAGCAAACAGGAUUAGAUACCCUUGUAGUCA
rnacentral:rRNA from 1 species